rnacentral:rRNA from 1 species
GCUCAGAUUGAACGCUGGCGGCAGGCCUAACACAUGCAAGUCGAGCGGUAGCACAGAGAGCUUGCUCUCGGGUGACGAGCGGCGGACGGGUGAGUAAUGUCUGGGAAACUGCCUGAUGGAGGGGGAUAACUACUGGAAACGGUAGCUAAUACCGCAUAACGUCGCAAGACCAAAGUGGGGGACCUUCGGGCCUCAUGCCAUCAGAUGUGCCCAGAUGGGAUUAGCUAGUAGGUGGGGUAACGGCUCACCUAGGCGACGAUCCCUAGCUGGUCUGAGAGGAUGACCAGCCACACUGGAACUGAGACACGGUCCAGACUCCUACGGGAGGCAGCAGUGGGGAAUAUUGCACAAUGGGCGCAAGCCUGAUGCAGCCAUGCCGCGUGUGUGAAGAAGGCCUUCGGGUGGUAAAGCACUUUCAGCGGGGAGGAAGGCGAUGAGGUUAAUAACCUCAUCGAUUGACGUUACCCGCAGAAGAAGCACCGGCUAACUCCGUGCCAGCAGCCGCGGUAAUACGGAGGGUGCAAGCGUUAAUCGGAAUUACUGGGCGUAAAGCGCACGCAGGCGGUCUGUCAAGUCGGAUGUGAAAUCCCCGGGCUCAACCUGGGAACUGCAUUCGAAACUGGCAGGCUAGAGUCUUGUAGAGGGGGGUAGAAUUCCAGGUGUAGCGGUGAAAUGCGUAGAGAUCUGGAGGAAUACCGGUGGCGAAGGCGGCCCCCU